rnacentral:rRNA from 1 species
UACGUAGGAUCCGAGCGUUAUCCGGAUUUAUUGGGUUUAAAGGGUGCGUAGGCGGACUAGUAAGUCAGUGGUGAAAGCCUGCAGCUUAACUGCAGAACUGCCAUUGAUACUGAUAGUCUUGAGUUUGGUUAAGGUAGGCGGAAUGUGUAAUGUAGCGGUGAAAUGCUUAGAUAUUACACAGAACACCAAUUGCGUAGGCAGCUUACUGAGCCGACACUGACGCUGAGGCACGAAAGCGUGGGGAUCGAACAGGAUUAGA